rnacentral:rRNA from 1 species
UGCAGUCGAACGGCAGCAUGAUCUAGCUUGCUAGAUUGAUGGCGAGUGGCGAACGGGUGAGUAAUACAUCGGAACGUGCCCUGUAGUGGGGGAUAACUAGUCGAAAGAUUAGCUAAUACCGCAUACGACCUGAGGGUGAAAGUGGGGGACCGCAAGGCCUCAUGCUAUAGGAGCGGCCGAUGUCUGAUUAGCUAGUUGGUGGGGUAAAGGCCCACCAAGGCGACGAUCAGUAGCUGGUCUGAGAGGACGAUCAGCCACACUGGGACUGAGACACGGCCCAGACUCCUACGGGAGGCAGCAGUGGGGAAUUUUGGACAAUGGGCGAAAGCCUGAUCCAGCAAUGCCGCGUGUGUGAAGAAGGCCUUCGGGUUGUAAAGCACUUUUGUCCGGAAAGAAAUGGCUCUGGUUAAUACCUGGGGUCGAUGACGGUACCGGAAGAAUAAGGACCGGCUAACUACGUGCCAGCAGCCGCGGUAAUACGUAGGGUCCAAGCGUUAAUCGGAAUUACUGGGCGUAAAGCGUGCGCAGGCGGUUGUGCAAGACCGAUGUGAAAUCCCCGAGCUUAACUUGGGAAUUGCAUUGGUGACUGCACGGCUAGAGUGUGUCAGAGGGGGGUAGAAUUCCACGUGUAGCAGUGAAAUGCGUAGAGAUGUGGAGGAAUACCGAUGGCGAAGGCAGCCCCCUGGGAUAACACUGACGCUCAUGCACGAAAGCGUGGGGAGCAAACAGGAUUAGAUACCCUGGUAGUCCACGCCCUAAACGAUGUCAACUAGUUGUUGGGGA